UACAGAGGGUGCAAGCGUUAAUCGGAAUUACUGGGCGUAAAGCGUGCGUAGACGGUUAUGUAAGUCGGGUGUGAAAGCCCCGGGCUCAACCUGGGAAUUGCAUUCGAGACUGCAUAGCUAGGGUGCGGAAGAGGGAAGCGGAAUUUCCGGUGUAGCGGUGAAAUGCGUAGAUAUCGGAAGGAACACCAGCGGCGAAAGCGGCUUCCUGGUCCAGCACCGACGUUCAGGCACGAAAGCGUGGGGAGCAAACAGG
rnacentral:rRNA from 1 species